CGGAGGGUGCAAGCGUUAUCCGGAUUUAUUGGGUUUAAAGGGUCCGUAGGCGGAUCCGUAAGUCAGUGGUGAAAUCUCACAGCUUAACUGUGAAACUGCCAUUGAUACUGCGGGUCUUGAGUAAGGUGGAAGUGGCUGGAAUAAGUAGUGUAGCGGUGAAAUGCAUAGAUAUUACUUAGAACACCAAUUGCGAAGGCAGGUCACUAUGUCUUAACUGACGCUGAUGGACGAAAGCGUGGGGAGCGAACAGGAUUAGAUACCCUGGUAGUCCACGCCGUAAACGAUGCUAACUCGUUUUUGGGCUUUCGGGUUCAGAGACUAAGCGAAAGUGAUAAGUUAGCCACCUGGGGAGUACGUUCGCAAGAAUG
rnacentral:rRNA from 1 species